rnacentral:rRNA from 1 species
GAGUUUGAUCAUGGCUCAGGAUGAACGCUAGCGGCAGGCUUAACACAUGCAAGUCGAGGGGCAGCGCGGGGCGGCAACGUCCUGGCGGCGACCGGCGGAAGGGUGCGUAACGCGUGAGCGACAUGCCCGUUGCCCGGGGACAACCGGUGGAAACGCCGACUAAUCCCCGAUGGGACGGAGGCCCUCAUGGGUCUCUGUUGAAAGUUGCGGCGGCGACGGAUUGGCUCGCGUCCGAUUAGCUUGUUGGCGGGUAACGCUCACCAAACCUUCGAUGGAUAGGGGUUCUGAGAGGAACGGUCCCCCACAUUGGAACUGAGACACGGUCCAAACUCCUACGGGA